rnacentral:rRNA from 1 species
UACGUAGGGUGCGAGCGUUGUCCGGAAUUAUUGGGCGUAAAGGGCUCGUAGGCGGUUUGUCGCGUCGGGAGUGAAAUCCACUGGCUUAACUGGUGGCUUGCUUUCGAUACGGGCAGACUGGAGGUAUGCAGGGGAGAACGGAAUUCCAGGUGUAGCGGUGAAAUGCGUAGAUAUCUGGAGGAAUACCGGUGGCGAAGGCGGCAUCCUGGACCGGCAUUGACGCUGAGGAGCGAAAGCCAGGGGAGCAAACGGG